GGAGGGGGAAUGCCUGGUGGCCAGUGAGAGAGAGGAGCCUGCAGAAUGACCCGGAGGCUCUAUCCGCACAGCUCUGCCAACAGGAGCAGAUUAACAUGGCUAAUGUUCAAACAUGACCAACUGCUCUACAGGAUUUAUCAUGAACAGCAACGGGUGCAUCUUGUGGUGUAGGAGAGCUCCAGAGACGCUGCACAUCUGGGCCUACAGCUGGAACAGGUCCACUCGGAGCUAUGGCGCUGGCAGAGCUUGGAGGUGCAGCUGGAAGGCCUGGUGGAGGAGCUGCACACUGAGGCCCUGCAGAGGGCUGCACUUACGAAGGGGCCUUGCGUAGCUGUACAGGUCGUUGCUGCAAAUGAGAACGUGUUCUCAGUCAACUUACCUGGUAAAAUAACGGUACAAUAAAAUAAAUAAAUAAUUAAAUAAAGGUGCAGGAACUGCAGCGGGAAAAUGAUGGGCAGUCUGAGGAAGCUCCAGGAGGCGGCUGAGCAGUUUGAGUGGCCGUGUGAACAGCAGCUCUACUGGAUGUGCUGCGUCAAGAGGUGAACCGGUUGGAGAAGGAGUUAGAAGAGUUGAGGUGGAGCUCACAGGACUCAGUGAGCCCCACCCAGAUACAGUGCUGUCCCCUUUUGGACAUGGACAGCCAGCACUGUGACAGAAUUCCCUAAUGGGAAUCAGAUGAGAUGGCUGACCUGCAAACCCAGGUCGACAAAUGGAGAGGGCUGUGUGAGGACUUCCUCAGCCAGUUCACACCCCACCAAAACCUGAGCCCUAGGACCAUACGUCAGGACUACCGGGCAUGAUGACUCCUUGCUGUCCCCAGUCCGCCUGGCCUUGCUGCUAUUCCAGUUUCAACUGUUCUGCCUGCGGUUACGGAACCCCUACCUGUCCCAGACCUGCUGUUUUCAACUCUUAAUGAUCGGCUAUGAAAAGCCAACUGAGAUUUAUUCCUGAUUAUUAUUUGACCAUGCUUGACAUUUAUGAACAUUUUGAAAAUCUUGGCUCUCUCUAAUUUUCUCCUUCUCUCUUUCUUUCUCUCGGAGGACCUGAGCCCUAGGACCAUACGUCGGGACUACCGGCCGUGGUGACUCCUUGCUGUCCCCAGUCCGCCUGGCCUUGCUGCUAUUCCAGUUUCAACUAUUCUGCCUGCGGUUAUGGAACCGCCACCUGUCCCAGACCUGUUGUUUUUCAACUCUUAAUGAUCGGCUAUGAAAAGCCAACUGAAAAUUAUUCCUGAUUAUUAUUUGACCAUGCUUGUCACUUAUGAACAUUUUUGAACAUCUUGGCAUAGUUCUGUUAUAAUCUCCACCCGGCACAGCCAGAAGAGGACUGGCCACCCCUCAUAGCCUGGUUCCUCUCUAGGUUUCUUCCUGGGUUUUGGCCUUUCUAGGGAGUUUUUCCUAGCCACCGUGCUUCUACACCUGCAUUACUAGCUGUUUGGGGUUUUAGGCUGGGUUUCUGUACAGCACUUCGAGAUAUUAGCUGAUGUACGAAGGGCUAUAUAAAAUAAACUUGAUUGAUUGAUUGAUUGGA